rnacentral:rRNA from 1 species
GUUAUAUGGUCAAGUGAAGAAGCGCAUACGGUGGAUGCCUUGGCAGUCAGAGGCGAUGAAAGACGUGGUAGCCUGCGAAAAGCUUCGGGGAGUCGGCAAACAGACUUUGAUCCGGAGAUCUCUGAAUGGGGGAACCCACCUAGGAUAACCUAGGUAUCUUGUACUGAAUCCAUAGGUGCAAGAGGCGAACCAGGGGAACUGAAACAUCUAAGUACCCUGAGGAAAAGAAAUCAACCGAGAUUCCCUUAGUAGUGGCGAGCGAACGGGGAUUAGCCCUUAAGCUUCAUUGAUUUUAGCGGAACGCUCUGGAAAGUGCGGCCAUAGUGGGUGAUAGCCCCGUACGCGAAAGGAUCUUUGAAGUGAAAUCGAGUAGGACGGAGCACGAGAAACUUUGUCUGAACAUGGGGGGACCAUCCUCCAAGGCUAAAUACUACUGACUGACCGAUAGUGAACCAGUACCGUGAGGGAAAGGCGAAAAGAACCCCGGAGAGGGGAGUGAAAUAGAACCUGAAACCGUAUGCGUACAAGCAGUGGGAGCCUACUUGUUAGGUGACUGCGUACCUUUUGUAUAAUGGGUCAGCGACUUAUAUUCAGUGGCAAGCUUAACCGUAUAGGGUAGGCGUAGCGAAAGCGAGUCUUAAUAGGGCGUUUAGUCGCUGGGUAUAGACCCGAAACCGGGCGAUCUAUCCAUGAGCAGGUUGAAGGUUAGGUAACACUGACUGGAGGACCGAACCCACUCCCGUUGAAAAGGUAGGGGAUGACUUGUGGAUCGGAGUGAAAGGCUAAUCAAGCUCGGAGAUAGCUGGUUCUCCUCGAAAGCUAUUUAGGUAGCGCCUCAUGUAUCACUCUGGGGGGUAGAGCACUGUUUCGGCUAGGGGGUCAUCCCGACUUACCAAACCGAUGCAAACUCCGAAUACCCAGAAGUGCCGAGCAUGGGAGACACACGGCGGGUGCUAACGUCCGUCGUGAAAAGGGAAACAACCCAGACCGCCAGCUAAGGUCCCAAAGUUGUGGUUAAGUGGUAAACGAUGUGGGAAGGCUUAGACAGCUAGGAGGUUGGCUUAGAAGCAGCCAUCCUUUAAAGAAAGCGUAAUAGCUCACUAGUCGAGUCGGCCUGCGCGGAAGAUGUAACGGGGCUCAAACCACACACCGAAGCUGCGGGUGUCACGUAAGUGACGCGGUAGAGGAGCGUUCUGUAAGCCUGUGAAGGUGAGUUGAGAAGCUUGCUGGAGGUAUCAGAAGUGCGAAUGCUGACAUGAGUAACGACAAUGGGUGUGAAAAACACCCACGCCGAAAGACCAAGGGUUCCUGCGCAACGUUAAUCGACGCAGGGUUAGUCGGUUCCUAAGGCGAGGCUGAAAAGCGUAGUCGAUGGGAAACAGGUUAAUAUUCCUGUACUUCUGGUUACUGCGAUGGAGGGACGGAGAAGGCUAGGCCAGCUUGGCGUUGGUUGUCCAAGUUUAAGGUGGUAGGCUGAAAUCUUAGGUAAAUCCGGGGUUUCAAGGCCGAGAGCUGAUGACGAGUCGUCUUUUAGAUGACGAAGUGGUUGAUGCCAUGCUUCCAAGAAAAGCUUCUAAGCUUCAGGUAACCAGGAACCGUACCCCAAACCGACACAGGUGGUCGGGUAGAGAAUACCAAGGCGCUUGAGAGAACUCGGGUGAAGGAACUAGGCAAAAUGGCACCGUAACUUCGGGAGAAGGUGCGCCGGCUAGGGUGAAGGAUUUACUCCGUAAGCUCUGGCUGGUCGAAGAUACCAGGCCGCUGCGACUGUUUAUUAAAAACACAGCACUCUGCAAACACGAAAGUGGACGUAUAGGGUGUGACGCCUGCCCGGUGCCGGAAGGUUAAUUGAUGGGGUUAGCGCAAGCGAAGCUCUUGAUCGAAGCCCCGGUAAACGGCGGCCGUAACUAUAACGGUCCUAAGGUAGCGAAAUUCCUUGUCGGGUAAGUUCCGACCUGCACGAAUGGCGUAACGAUGGCGGCGCUGUCUCCACCCGAGACUCAGUGAAAUUGAAAUCGCUGUGAAGAUGCAGUGUAUCCGCGGCUAGACGGGAAGACCCCGUGAACCUUUACUGUAGCUUUGCACUGGACUUUGAGCCUGCUUGUGUAGGAUAGGUGGGAGGCUUUGAAGCGUGGACGCCAGUUCGCGUGGAGCCAUCCUUGAAAUACCACCCUGGCAUGCUUGAGGUUCUAACUCUGGUCCGUAAUCCGGAUCGAGGACAGUGUAUGGUGGGCAGUUUGACUGGGGCGGUCUCCUCCUAAAGAGUAACGGAGGAGUACGAAGGUGCGCUCAGACCGGUCGGAAAUCGGUCGCAGAGUAUAAAGGCAAAAGCGCGCUUGACUGCGAGACAGACACGUCGAGCAGGUACGAAAGUAGGUCUUAGUGAUCCGGUGGYUCUGUAUGGAAGGGCCAUCGCUCAACGGAUAAAAGGUACUCCGGGGAUAACAGGCUGAUACCGCCCAAGAGUUCAUAUCGACGGCGGUGUUUGGCACCUCGAUGUCGGCUCAUCACAUCCUGGGGCUGAAGCCGGUCCCAAGGGUAUGGCUGUUCGCCAUUUAAAGUGGUACGCGAGCUGGGUUUAGAACGUCGUGAGACAGUUCGGUCCCUAUCUGCCGUGGACGUUUGAGAUUUGAGAGGGGCUGCUCCUAGUACGAGAGGACCGGAGUGGACGAACCUCUGGUGUUCCGGUUGUCACGCCAGUGGCAUUGCCGGGUAGCUAUGUUCGGAAAAGAUAACCGCUGAAAGCAUCUAAGCGGGAAACUUGCCUCAAGAUGAGAUCUCACUGGGAACUUGAUUCCCCUGAAGGGCCGUCGAAGACUACGACGUUGAUAGGCUGGGUGUGUAAGCGUUGUGAGGCGUUGAGCUAACCAGUACUAAUUGCCCGUGAGGCUUGACCAUAUAACACCCAAACA